UACGUAGGUGACCAGCGUUGUCCGGAUUUACUGGGCGUAAAGGGCGUGCAGGCGGUUUGUUAAGUGCAGGGUGAAAGCUCCCGGCUCAACUGGGAGAGGUCCUUGCAUACUGGCGAACUCGAGGGAGGCAGAGGAAAGUGGAAUUCCCGGUGUAGCGGUGAAAUGCGUAGAGCUCGGGAAGAACAUCGGUGCGAAAGCGCUCUACUGGACUGCAACUGACACUGAGGGACGAAAGCUAGGGGAGCGAAUGGG
rnacentral:rRNA from 1 species